AACUUUCAACAACGGAUCUCUUGGUUCUGGCAUCGAUGAAGAACGCAGCGAAAUGCGAUAAGUAAUGUGAAUUGCAGAAUUCAGUGAAUCAUCGAAUCUUU
rnacentral:rRNA from 1 species